rnacentral:pre_miRNA from 1 species
UUAAUACUCCCUCCGUCCGAAAAUACUUGUCAUCAAAAUAGACAAAAAGGGAUGUAUCUAGAACUAAAAUACAUCUAGAUACAUCUCUUUUUAUUCAUUUUGAUGACAAGUAUUUCCGGACGGAGGGAGUAGUAG